rnacentral:rRNA from 1 species
ACACCGGCAGCUCAAGUGGUGGCCACUAUUACUGGGUUUAAAGCGUCCGUAGCUUGACUGUUAGGUCUCUUGGGAAAUCUUCACGCUCAACGUGAAGGCGUCUAAGAGAUACCGGCAGUCUUGGAACUGGGAGAGGUAAACCGUACUUCGGGGGUAGGAGUGAAAUCUUGUAAUCCUCGAGGGACGACCUAUGGCGAAGGCAGUUUACCAGAACAGCUUCGACAGUGAGGGACGAAAGCUGGGGGAGC